ACUCCGACCACAGCUGCUUUACACCCUCGCCUCCGCUCAGACUUCAGCCCACCCACCGCUUCCCUUUGGUCUCCACUCUGCUUCUACCAAGCUUUAUUGAGAUGUAAUUGACACACAUGUAUGUUUAAGGGUACGGUAUGAUACAUGGGUGUACAUACUGUGAAAUUAUGGCCACAACAAGGUGUAUAUCCAGAAGCAAGAUUGCGGUAUCUCAUGAUAGUUCUAUUUUUUUAUUUUUUUGAGAAAGCUUCAUACUGUUUUCCAUAGUGACUGCACCAAUUUACAUUCUCAGCAAGAGUGCACAAGGUCUCUCUUUUUCUCCACAUCCUUACCAUCACUUGAGCUUCCCAGGUGGCUCAGUGGUAAAGAACACACCUGCCAAUACAGGAGAUGCAAGAGACACAGGUUCCAUCCCUGGGUCAGGAAGAUCCCUUGGAGGAGGAAAUGGCAACCUGCUCCAGUAUUCUUGCCUGGGAAAUCCCAUGGACAGAGGAGCCUUGUGAGCUACAGUCCAUGGAGUCUCAAAGAAUCAGACAUGCCUGAGCACACACAUAUACAAUUUUCCCAGUAUACUAUUUAUUGAAGAGAUUGUCCUUCCCCCAUUGAUUACCUUGGCUACCUUGUCAAAUGUUAGUUGACCAUAUAUGCAAGAGUUUAUUUCUGGGUUUUUAAUUCUAUCUUAUUGGUCUAUAUGUCAGUUUAAUGCUAAUACCAUACCUCACUGCCCCCAAUGUUUAUGCCCCAAAUAUUUCUGGUGGAAAUAGGAAACAUCUUACCUAUCAUCAAACUACUCCACAGAACAUUGCUGUUCAUCAGGAAAAGCAAUUCAUAAUAAGAGAAGAAAUGGAAUUCAUUGGUCUUUACACAUUCUAUUACUGAGAGGCAUCUAGCCUGACAGAGCUAACAGACGGCCUCCUGAAGAUUCAGCGUAGUGCAGUGAAGAGAUGGCAUUCUGCGUAUGAGAUGGGCAUUGCCAUACAGAAUAUGCUUUGAGACAGCACCCAGUCUGUGAUGCCGUUUUUCCAACUGCCAGCAUAUAUGGGUCUGGAAAUGAAAAGGUGGGUCUGGGAGUGGCUCUUCUCACUAUCAAAUCUAAUAAGCCACUCCUAGAAUUUUUGCUUCUAAUUCCUACACAUUUGGCUUCUGCCGAUUUCGUUCACGGUCUUACUUCCCAAGGGAGGAAUGCUUCCACCAGGAGACACCAUUGCAGGAUGUGUUGGGUUAGAAGCACAGAGUGCCACCUGGCCGUCUCAGGUCUCUGUGUCCCUGGACUAGCAGAGACCAGUUGGGGAAAUGGAUUCUGAUCAUCAAGUCAGUGAAACUUUGAUUUCUACUAUGAAAUGACAUCAGUGAAUAAAAUCUGGACAUGAGAAGACUUUCCUGGGGCACUUCUUACUACUUCCCUGUCCAUUUGUACAAGUUAACAUGGACUUCCCUUGUGGUCCAGUGGUUAAGACCCCGUGCUCCCAAUGCAGGGGGCCCAGGUUUGAUACCUGAUCAGGGAACUAGAUGCCACAUACCACAACUAAGACUGAAAAGAAAAAAAGAUCUUGCCUGCUGCAACCAAGACCCAGAGGGACCAAAUACAUAAAUAAAAUAAAUAUUUUUUUUAAGUGAACAGAAAACGACUGCAGCCUAGCAAAGACAGAACUAUUAAGAAUUAGAACCCUUCAGAAAUGAAACUUCAAUUUACUUCACCAAGUCAAAAUUCCCAAGUAGUUUAGGUGCUAGCCCUAAAUGGCCCAGGAACCAUGGAAUUAGUAGAAAAAAUGAAAUUGUUAGUAUCAACUAUAACCUUGCCAUCAGUAAUAGAAACAAUGAUUGUAGCAGCUAGGCAUAUUUUUUUUUUCUUGUUUUCAUGAAUUUGAAUAUUUUUGCCUUCAUUCUCAUUUUCUAUAUUACUUGGUACAAAGAAAUUUCAUGAUUAUUGCCUUUGCAGUUUAGUCUUUGUAUCAGAG
ensembl:lncRNA